UACGGGAGGGGCAAGCGUUACCCACCAUGACUGGGCGUAAAGAGUCCGUAGACUGUAUAGUAAGUUACUUGUUAAACUUUAAAGCCUAACUUUAAAUCAGCUUUUAAUACUGCUAUACUUUGAGUUUUAUACAGAAAAGUAGAAUUUUAUAUGAAAGGGUAAAAUCUAAAAAUAAAUAAAGGAAUAUCAUUAGCGAAGGCGACUUUUUAGUAAAAACUGACGUUGAGGGACGAAAGUGUAGGUAGCAAACAGG
rnacentral:rRNA from 1 species